rnacentral:rRNA from 1 species
UACAGGGGGGGCAAGCGUUGUUCGGAAUUACUGGGCGUAAAGGGCUCGUAGGCGGCCAACUAAGUCACACGUGAAAUCCCCAGGCUUAACCUGGGAACUGCGUGUGAUACUGGAUGGCUUGAAUUCGGGAGAGGGAUGCAGAAUUCCAGGUGUAGCGGUGAAAUGCGUAGAUAUCUGGAGGAACACCGGUGGCGAAGGCGGCAUUCUGGACCGAUAUUGACGCUGAGGAGCGAAAGCCAGGGGAGCAAACGGG